UUCCAGAUGACGAGUCCCAAAAAGGACGAAAUGUGCAUCCUUGAU
rnacentral:hammerhead_ribozyme from 1 species